UACGUAGGGUGCGAGCGUUGUCCGGAAUUACUGGGCGUAAAGAGUUCGUAGGCGGUUUGUCGCGUCGUUCGUGAAAACUUGGGGCUCAACCCCAAGCUUGCGGGCGAUACGGGCAGACUUGAGUACUGCAGGGGAGACUGGAAUUCCUGGUGUAGCGGUGAAAUGCGCAGAUAUCAGGAGGAACACCGGUGGCGAAGGCGGGUCUCUGGGCAGUAACUGACGCUGAGGAGCGAAAGCGUGGGUAGCGAACAGG
rnacentral:rRNA from 1 species